rnacentral:misc_RNA from 1 species
GAUGAAGAACGUAGCGAAAUGCGAUAAGUAAUGUGAAUUGCAGAAUUCAGUGAAUCAUCGAAUCUUUGAACGCACAUUGCGCCCGCCAGUAUUCUGGCGGGCAUGCCUGUUCGAGCGUCAUUUCAACCAUCAAGCCCCAGGCUUGUGUUGGGGACCUGCGGCUGCCGCAGGCCCUGAAAACCAGUGGCGGGCUCGCUGUCACACCGGGCGUAGUAGAUUUUAUCUCGCUCAGGGCGUGCUGCGGGUUCCGGCCGUUAAAAAGCCUUUUUUAGCCAAGGUUGACCUCGGAUCAGGUAGGAAGACCCGCUGAACUUAAGCAUAUCAAUAAGCGGAGGA